AGUGAACGCUGGCGGUAGGCCUAACACAUGCAAGUCGAACGGCAGCACAGUAAGAGCUUGCUCUUACGGGUGGCGAGUGGCGGACGGGUGAGGAAUACAUCGGAAUCUACUUUUUCGUGGGGGAUAAUGUAGGGAAACUUACGCUAAUACCGCAUACGACCUACGGGUGAAAGCAGGGGAUCUUCGGACCUUGCGCGAUUGAAUGAGCCGAUGUCGGAUUAGCUAGUUGGCGGGGUAAAGGCCCACCAAGGCGACGAUCCGUAGCUGGUCUGAGAGGAUGAUCAGCCACACUGGAACUGAGACACGGUCCAGACUCCUACGGGAGGCAGCAGUGGGGAAUAUUGGACAAAGGGCGCAAGCCUGAUCCAGCCAUACCGCGUGGGUGAAGAAGGCCUUCGGGUUGUAAAGCCCUUUUGUUGGGAAAGAAAAGCAGCAGGUUAAUACCCCGCUGUUCUGACGGUACCCAAAGAAUAAGCACCGGCUAACUUCGUG
rnacentral:rRNA from 1 species